ACAUACGUCAUAAUUUACUUCUUGAUUUGUACUCAGGAAAAGCAUGAAUUGUAGCCCUGGAAGGAAAUCAUUUACUCAGGAAGGAUGUUUUGAGUGGCUUGAAUAGCCUGAGUCAUACAUCAGGAUUAUUGUCGGAUUCCCUUGAAGAGAUCGAUUUUCAGUGCUCAUAAGUUUGUGACCCGUAUUCUUCUUUGAAGGAGGAGAAAUCACAAGAAAACUUAUUUAAAGGGAAAACCAACAUUGAUUUAAUACAGUGCUGAUUGCUUGCCUGUCUUGAACCCAAACUCCAUUGGAGUCAAACCACAUGAUAAAAGAUGGUGGAAGCUACUGGAUACAUUGUUUAAAAAAUUGUGACAACGAUGAAAAUCAGAAACCAGACUUGAGACGGACUGGAGAAGAGAAGGAUUCAAAGAAUCAUUUUCCAGAAAUCCUUGGUACAGCUUUAAGAGCAGGGAGCGGCCACUGUGAAGGAAAUAUUUCUGAAUAGAAAGCUCCUACAGAGAAACCAGCAGAACACAAAGUCUCAGAAAAUUACUUAUGGCCAGUAAUAGGGGAAACAAGUCUUUAAUAUAGGAGUGAAAGCAGUAAGAGGCCUGUAAAAAGCUAAUGGGGACACAUCCAAACUGAGUACAUGCAAAGGAAAAACUACCAGAACCCGAAAGCAAAUUUGAUCCCUGGAAGGAGGGGAAAAUAAAGUUUCAUUUCCGUCCAAAAAAUUAGGCUGAGGAGGAGAGUGAACACUUCUAACAGUGUGCUAACACAAUCCUGAGUGACUUACUCAGUGUUAAUGUUUUGCUGCUAAAAUUAAGAUCAUUCUUCAGGUAUAGGCUUAAAGAAAAUUGAUCAAAAAAAAAGAAAAGUUGCCAUAAGAAUUAUUCUUGCAAUUCUAGGUACCAGAGCCCUAUGAAGUUAACAAAAUCCUUUUUAUAUAGUUUCCACAGUUCAAAUGAUAAAUUCAAAUGUUUUAUUCGACAAAUAAUUUUUGUCAGUUUUAUUUAUUAAAAUCUAUAGAAUUGGAUGAGUAAGUAGCACAAAGCUGAUCGCGUGUUAUUGAACAUGAUGUGAAAAUAUUUCAGACACAAUAAAAAGUUGUCACAAACAA